ensembl:lncRNA
CUGCUACCCUCCAUCAUGGCCCUUAGCCCAAUGCAAAAGUCUAGGAAUCCCUUGAGGACAAUGACCCUGGUGCCUUUUAUGUGUAUCCCCAGGUCAGAGACUGCCAAAAUAAGUGUUUUUUUUCCCCCGAAUAAAUAAAGCAAAUCUUCCACAGAACAGUCUUUACGUAAAAAUGAAUCCUGUAUUCAUUUCAAAUAGGUGUUAUCUUAGAAGUAGGGUUUUAUAGAUUUUUUUUAGCCAAGUCCUGGACAAAUUGGUCUCCCAGCCCUAGUAUUACCACUGUAGAGUCAAUGUUGUAAAGGCAACAUGAUUUUAAAUAAAAGUCAAGAGAUUUUGAGUAGUUAACCUAUUGGUAAUUAGAAGUUUAAUGUUAUGUUUCACUUAAUGACAAAUGUGCCUAUUUCCUCCUUCACUCUGGGAUCCCAGGCAUGAGGAAGAAAGGAGUGAGUGAGUGAGUGGAUGAAUGAAUGAAUGUUUUAUAGUUUCCUUCAUUGCGCUUCAGGUCCUUUACCUCGUGCAGUGGCCAUGUUUCCUUCUGGUGGGAUUGGGUGCAUAGAGGGAAGUUCUGAUGGAAUUUGGCAGCCUGAACAGGACUGGCUGGAGCCCAGUUAAAGUGAUGUUGAUGCUCUGAAUUCUUCUUGGAUUAAGGAAUAUUACCUACCCGUUUUUGGAUGUAAGCAGACCUGGUGUGUGUUGAGAAUGCUGAGAAACCACCUCUGAUCCUUGACAAUGAAGCUGCUGAAAGGUGCACCAUGGUCACAUAAGAACCAAUCCAGAAUUCUAUCAUGGGAAGAUUACACUUGGUUCUGUUCUGAAAAGAGAAGGAAGAAGAAGUCUGGGUUCUGUUAUUCUUUUCCUCAGCUCCCUGAGCCAGCGCCACUGGACCUGACUUAUUCCCUCUGGAUCUCAACAUUUCCUAGGACCUGUCUCACCUGCCUUUCCUCUGGACCACUUCUGAUGCCUUGGAACAGGAUCGUGCAUUUAUCUUCUCCUCCCUCCCCACAGGGCAGGCCACAGAGCCUUCUCCCAAGUCAUCCUUCCUUGUCUCCAAGGCUCACGUGACUUUGCUUCCAGGAAGCAUCUACGGCUUACUUCCAUCAAAGUUCAUCAUUCCUAUGGCACUUGUGAUGUGAACGGAGAACACAGGAUCUGCAUUGUGGUCUAAUUUUUUUCCCUAUGUAUUUUGUCCUUUCAGUUGACUGAGAAACAUCUUAGGAAUCUGUUCUUUCCUAGUUUUUGCCAGCACACAAUAGGGCCCCUUUUAACAUGUAUAAGAAAUUCCAAAUGAACAAUCAAUAGGACUCUGGGGUCAGGAUCAAAACUAAUGAUUACCUUUGGGGUCUGAUUGGGAGAAUUACAUUGUUUCUGAAGCAAGAGAAAACUCUAGAGGAAAACUAUAGUUUUAGGGGAAGAUAAUGGCAUUUUUAGUACAAGGAGUUUGGGAAGCAUUGCAGAACGUGCAGUUGGAGAGUCCUGUGAAGGAUGGGAGUUGGGGCAGCUGGGAGUCACCACCAUGGGGUAGAGAGUGUUACCUUUAUCAAGAUGUAGUUACUCAGCAUGGCCACCGAACCACUCUCAAAACAGUUGGGAGCAUGUAUCAGGCACAAAAGCUCUCCUUGGAGGUAAAUAAUCUCUGCAGAAGAUGAAACAUUACUGUGCUAAAUAAUUGCAUAAGAUUAUUUAAAUAAAAAUCCAAGAUAACAUAAGCGAUGUGCA